AACAGUGGGGAAUAUUGCACAAUGGGGGAAACCCUGAUGCAGCCAUGCCGCGUGUGUGAAGAAGGCCUUCGGGUUGUAAAGCACUUUCAGUAGGGAGGAAGGUAGUGUAGUUAACACCUGCAUUAUUUGACGUUACCUACAGAAGAAGCACCGGCUAACUCCGUGCCAGCAGCCGCGGUAAUACGGAGGGUGCGAGCGUUAAUCGGAAUUACUGGGCGUAAAGCGCAUGCAGGCGGCCUGUUAAGUCAGAUGUGAAAGCCCGGGGCUUAACCUCGGAAUUGCAUUUGAAACUGGCAGGCUAGAGUCUUGUAGAGGGGGUAGAAUUUCAGGUGUAGCGGUGAAAUGCGUAGAGAUCUGAAGGAAUACCAGUGGCGAAGGCGGCCCCCUGGACAAAGACUGACGCUCAGAUGCGAAAGCGUGGGGAGCAAACAGGAUUAGAUACCCUGGUAA
rnacentral:rRNA from 1 species